ensembl:lncRNA
CUUAUUUCUUGCGGUCUUUGGGCUAGUUUCCAACUUGUCUGAGUGCAGCUGCUGCAAGGGAAGAUUGUGGGUCCAUGUGCAAUGUUCUCCUAUUCUUUGUUGCUAAUGCAGUUUGUCUUUUCUCUUUCCUUUGUCAAAGUGAAAGCUUAUUUCAGGUUCCUCUGCUUCUAGCAUUGGCCUCAACUGAACAUGCUGGCAAAAUACCUGUAGUGGAAAUGCUAAGUCAGAGCUUGAACCAGUGAUUGAGCACCUGGUGGGAAGGCAGGGCCAACCAAGGGGAGCUCAGGUGCAUGCAAUGUAACUGAGUGACCAGAAGGGAUGGAGCCAGGAUCCACCCCUUCCUAGACAUCACACAAGUGUUGGCAGUGGAGGCAAGCAAGGACUUCUGAAGCCCACAAGCUUCAUAGAUCUGAAAAAAGGAGCAGUCACUUUCCAGAGAAGAGAACCUGGAAGACCCGGCUGCUGCUGGGACAACCUCUGCUUGCUCCUUGUAACCACCAUGAGAAACUCUGCAGGCAGCUGCAAGGGGAUGUUAUCCUGUGCUACCGUGACCACCAGCAUUUGGGGAGAUGGAAGCUGCAUUUAAGGAUUCUGCCAGGCAAAAGAGAGAAGUGACCCUGGACCCUUCAGUUCAUAGAGAGCUGGUUGGCACUUACUUUGGUUGGCCCAAAGGAAAUACAAUCAAGUGUGUGUGAAAGAGCAAGCACUGGGUCACAGCUCCGAGAGCAGCAGUAAGAAGCACUCUUUCUCUGCAAAGCAAGGGGCUUAUGGGCAAAACACAGCCAUUCUCAGACAGCUCAAUGAAACACACACAACCUGAACAAAAACAGCAGCACCAUGACUUUUCCUUGUCACAGCUCAAAGGAGGAAGCAACUGCAUCUGCUACCCAGACUGCACGCUGCUAUUUCCAGGUGUGUUUUCCCCCUGCCAAACCUGCAGCAUAGGAAGCAAGCCCUGCCUGUUGCAUGGCUGGCUAAUCUCCUAUCAUUCAUUCUUCCAUUCAGCAAUGUAGCAUUGUGUGUUCUGUGUUUGGUAUUGCUGAAAUAAAGAGCAUAACUUGAGACAGAGUACAUAUGCCUGAAGAUUUUCUAGAAAGCAUAAACCUGAAGAAGAGAACAAAUUUUGCAUUGUGACCUUUAUUUUGAACUUCUUUACUUUCUUGCAGUGUGGGACAGGGACUUGAUUUUGUCCAGGACAACAGCAAUAACUUUUUUUCUUAGAGACUG